CAACAAAGAGUCCCUCCCGACUGUUUACCAAAAACACAGCACUCUGCUAACUCGUAAGAGGAUGUAUAGGGUGUGACGCCUGCCCGGUGCUCGAAGGUUAAUUGAUGGGGUUAGCAUUAGCGAAGCUCUUGAUCGAAGCCCGAGUAAACGGCGGCCGUAACUAUAACGGUCCUAAGGUAGCGAAAUUCCUUGUCGGUUAAAUACCGACCUGCAUGAAUGGCGUAACGAGAUGGGAGCUGUCUCAAAGAGGGAUCCAGUGAAAUUGUAGUGGAGGUGAAAAUUCCUCCUACCCGCGGCAAGACGGAAAGACCCCGUGGACCUUUACUACAGCUUGACACUGCUACUUGGAUAAGAAUGUGCAGGAUAGGUGGGAGGCUUUGAGUAUAUGACGCCAGUUGUAUAUGAGCCAUUGUUGAGAUACCACUCUUUCUUAUUUGGGUAGCUAACCAGCUUGAGUUAUCCUCAAGUGGGACAAUGUCUGGUGGGUAGUUUGACUGGGGCGGUCGCCUCCCAAAUAAUAACGGAGGCUUACAAAGGUUGGCUCAGAACGGUUGGAAAUCGUUCGUAGAGUAUAAAGGUAUAAGCCAGCUUAACUGCAAGACAUACAAGUCAAGCAGAGACGAAAGUCGGUCUUAGUGAUCCGGUGGUUCUGUGUGGAAGGGCCAUCGCUCAAAGGAUAAAAGGUACCCCGGGGAUAACAGGCUGAUCUCCCCCAAGAGCUCACAUCGACGGGGAGGUUUGGCACCUCGAUGUCGGCUCAUCGCAUCCUGGGGCUGGAGCAGGUCCCAAGGGUAUGGCUGUUCGCCAUUUAAAGCGGUACGCGAGCUGGGUUCAGAACGUCGUGAGACAGUUCGGUCCCUAUCUGCCGUGGGCGUAAGAAGAUUGAAGAGAUUUGACCCUAGUACGAGAGGACCGGGUUGAACAAACCACUGGUGUAGCUGUUGUUCUGCCAAGAGCAUCGCAGCGUAGCUAAGUUUGGAAAGGAUAAACGCUGAAAGCAUCUAAGCGUGAAGCCAACUCUAAGAUGAAUCUUCUCUAAGCUCUCUAGAAGACUACUAGUUUGAUAGGCUGGGUGUGUAAUGGAUGAAAGUCCUUUAGCUGACCAGUACUAAUAGAGCGUUUGGCUUAUCUUU
rnacentral:rRNA from 1 species